CCUACGGGAGGCAGCAGUGAGGAAUAUUGGUCAAUGGACUCACGUCUGAACCAGCCAUGCCGCGUGCAGGAAGACGGCUCUAUGAGUUGUAAACUGCUUUUGUACGAGGGUAAACGCAGAUACGCGUAUCUGUCUGAAAGUUUCGUGCGAAUAAGGAUCGGCUAACUCCGUGCCAGCAGCCGCGGGAAUAAGGAGGAUUCAAGCGUUAUCCGGAUUUUUUGGGGUUAAAGGGUGCGUAGGCGGUCGGAUAAGGUAGAGGUGAAAUCCCGAGGCUCAACUUCGGCAUUGCCUCUGAUACUGUUCGUCUAGAGAGUAGUUGAGGUAGGCGGAAUGUAUGGUGUAGCGGUGAAAUGCUUAGAGAUCAUACAGAACACCGAUUGCGAAGGCAGCUUACCAGGCUACUUCUGACGUUGAGGCACGAAAGCGUGGGGAGCAAACAGGAUUAGAUACCCCAGUAGUC
rnacentral:rRNA from 1 species